GAUGAAGAACGUAGCGAAAUGCGAUAAGUAAUGCGAAUUGCAGAAUUCAGUGAAUCAUCGAAUCUUUGGACGCACAUCGCGCCCGCCAGCAUUCUGGCGGGCAUGCCUGUCCGAGCGUCAUUUCCACCCAUCGGGCCCCCGGGCCCGCGUUGGGGACCUGCGGCUGCCCGCAGGCCCUGAAAACCAGUGGCGGGCUCGCUAGUCACACCGAGCGUAGUAGCACAGAACACCUCGCUCAGGGCGUGCGGCGGGCUCCGGCCGUUAAACCACCCCCGAAACCCCCCAAGGUUGACCUCGGAUCAGGUAGGAAGACCCGCUGAACUUAAGCAUAUCAAUAAGCGGAGGA
rnacentral:misc_RNA from 1 species